rnacentral:rRNA from 1 species
GAUGAACGCUAGCGGGAGGCUUAAUACAUGCAAGUCGAGGGGUAACAGGCGAAACCUAGUUUUGCGCUGACGACCGGCGAACGGGUGAGUAACGCGUACGGAACUUACCUCCAAGUGGGGCAUAGCCCCGGGAAACUGGGAUUAAUACCCCAUGGUAUUAUAGGAUGGCAUCAUCUUAUGAUUAAAGAUCAGUCGCUUGGAGAUAGUCGUGCGUACUAUUAGAUAGUUGGUGAGGUAAUGGCUCACCAAGUCUACGAUAGUUAGGGGGCGUGAGAGCGUGAUCCCCCACACGGGUACUGAGACACGGACCCGACUCCUACGGGAGGCAGCAGUAAGGAAUAUUGGACAAUGGGCGCAAGCCUGAUCCAGCCAUCCCGCGUGCAGGAUGACGGCCCUAUGGGUUG